UGGAAACUGUAACAACAGCUGAUUUCCUGAAUGUGAUUGAACACACCAAACCCUCAGCACGAAACCUGAUGGACAGAUACACAGCCUGGGAGAGAGAGUACCAAUCUGUCUGACACUAGUACACAUAACAUGAAUGACAUCUAUUUGCACAGCCCCAAUGUGCGAUGGGAGGACAUCAUCGGUCUGGAGGAUGCCAAGCGAUUAGUCAAAGAGGCCGUCGUUUAUCCCAUUAAGUAUCCCCAACUCUUUACAGGCAUCCUGUCUCCAUGGAAGGGUUUACUGCUCUAUGGUCCCCCGGGUACAGGUAAGACAUUGCUGGCCAAGGCCGUAGCUACAGAGUGUAAGACAACCUUCUUCAACAUCUCAGCUUCCAGCAUUGUCAGCAAGUGGAGGGGAGACUCUGAGAAACUGGUCAGGGUUCUAUUUGAGCUGGCCAGGUACCACGCUCCAUCCACCAUCUUCCUGGAUGAGCUCGAGUCAAUUGAUGGGCCAGAGAGCAGCAUGGGAGGUGAGCACAAGGGGAGUCGCAGGAUAAAAACCGAGUUACGGGUUCAGAUGGAUGAGUCUUCCCUCUUCACCAGCUCGCCAAGCCAUGACUUCUCACUGGCUGCCUCCUCUCAGCUGCACAGGAGGCGUUGAGCUAUGCACUGUACUGGAGUACGACGCAUUGGCAAAGGAGAUGGAGGGCGACUCUGGCUCAGAUAUAAGAUGGCAUGUAAGGAAGCUGCCAUGAGACCAGUUGGAAAAAUCUUUGAUGCUCUGGAGUCACAUCAGGAUGGUAGGACAACACACACACACAACCUGCAGCUGAAUGUAGCUAUAAAUGAAUGAGCUGGUGGUAGAAACAGAUCCCAACCCUCCCCUGUCUGCAUUGGUGGGACUGAUGUCGAAAUAGUCACAUCCUAUAAGUAUCUGGGAGUUCAACUGGAUCACAAGCUGGAGUGGUCUGCCAGCAAGGAUGCUUCCUACAAAAAGGGUCUGAGCUGGCUUUACUUUCUACGAAGGCUCAGAUCCUUUAAUGUAUGCAGCAGGCUGCUCUAUAAGUUUUAUCAGUCUUUUGUUGCGAGCACCAUCUUUUUUGCUGUAGCAUGCUGGGGUGCAGGCAUCAAAGCAAAGGAUGCAAACAGACUGAAAAAAAUUCAUCAGGAAGGCCGAGUCUGUUGCUGGCAUGAAGCUUGCCACCCUGGAGGAGGUGAUCAGUGUCAGAAUGCUGGCAAGACUGCUGGCAAUCAUGGACAAUGACUCCCACCCCCUCCAUAACACACUGGACAAUCUGAAGAGCAGUUUCAGCAAUAGGUUCCUUCAACCUCGCUGUCUGAGGGAAAGUUACAGGAGGUCGUUUCUUCCCGCUGCAAUCAGACUCUUUCAUUCAUCCACAUGGGUCAGGUCCACACAUGUGGAACAGAAUUAAUCACACCUCAGUGCACCCUGUCACUUUUGUACACCACAACACAUAUUUGCAAACAUACUUGUCCUUUUAUAUUUAUACUUAUAUCUCUAUAUUUAUCUUAAUAUUUAUCUACCAGUAUCUCUGUUUCUACAUAUUAUAUGAGUGCUUGUUGUUUGUUGUAUAUUUGCUGCUAUGACAACUCAAUUUCCCUCUGGGAUUAAUAAAGUUUCUCUGAUUCUGAAAGUCAAG